GAUGAACGCUGGCGGCGUGCCUAAUACAUGCAAGUCGAGCGAACAGACGAGGAGUUUGCUCCUCUGACGUUAGCGGCGGACGGGUGAGUAACACGUGGAUAACCUACCUAUAAGACUGGGAUAACUUCGGGAAACCGGAGCUAAUACCGGAUAAUAUAUUGAACCGCAUGGUUCAAUAGUGAAAGACGGUUUUGCUGUGACUUAUAGAUGGAUCCGCGCCGCAUUAGCUAGUUGGUAAGGUAACGGCUUACCAAGGCAACGAUGCGUAGCCGACCUGAGAGGGUGAUCGGCCACACUGGAACUGAGACACGGUCCAGACUCCUACGGGAGGCAGCAGUAGGGAAUCUUCCGCAAAGGGCGAAAGCCUGACGGAGCAACGCCGCGUGAGUGAUGAAGGUCUUCGGAUCGUAAAACUCUGUUAUUAGGGAAGAACAAAUGUGUAAGUAACUAUGCACGUCUUGACGGUACCUAAUCAGAAAGCCACGGCUAACUACGUG
rnacentral:rRNA from 1 species